CCUACGGUGGGCAGCAGUGAGGAAUAUUGGUCAAUGGGCGGGAGCCUGAACCAGCCAAGUCGCGUAAGGGAAGAAGGUACUUAGUAUUGUAAACUUCUUUUGUCAGGGAACAAAGCCUGAGACGCGUCUCCGGAUGAGUGUACCCGAAGAAAAAGCAUCGGCUAACUCCGUGCCAGCAGCCGCGGUAAUACGGAGGAUGCGAGCGUUAUCCGGAUUUAUUGGGUUUAACGGGUGCGCAGGCGGUAGGUCAAGUCAGCGGUAAAAUGCCGGGGCUCAACCCCGGCCGGCCGUUGAAACUGGCUUUCUAGAGUUGGAGAGAAGUAUGCGGAAUUCGUGGUGUAGCGGUGAAAUGCAUAGAUAUCGCGAAGAACUCCGAUGGCGAAGGAAGCAUACCGGCUCCAUACUGACGCUGAGGCACGAAAGCGUGGGGAUCGAACAGGAUUAGAUACCCGAGUAGUC
rnacentral:rRNA from 1 species